GCCCAGCUAGCUCAGUUGGUAGAGCAUGGGACUCAAUCUCAGGAUUUUGGGUUUGAGCCCCAUGCUGGGUG
rnacentral:tRNA from 1 species